AUUGAACGCUGGCGGCAUGCCUUACACAUGCAAGUCGAACGGCAGCAUGAUCUAGCUUGCUAGAUUGAUGGCGAGUGGCGAACGGGUGAGUAAUACAUCGGAACGUGCCCUGUAGUGGGGGAUAACUAGUCGAAAGAUUAGCUAAUACCGCAUACGACCUGAGGGUGAAAGUGGGGGACCGCAAGGCCUCAUGAUAUAGGAGCGGCCGAUGUCUGAUUAGCUAGUUGGUGGGGUAAAGGCCCACCAAGGCGACGAUCAGUAGCUGGUCUGAGAGGACGAUCAGCCACACUGGGACUGAGACACGGCCCAGACUCCUACGGGAGGCAGCAGUGGGGAAUUUUGGACAAUGGGCGAAAGCCUGAUCCAGCAAUGCCGCGUGUGUGAAGAAGGCCUUCGGGUUGUAAAGCACUUUUGUCCGGAAAGAAAUGGCUCUGGUUAAUACCUGGGGUCGAUGACGGUACCGGAAGAAUAAGGACCGGCUAACUACGUGCCAGCAGCCGCGGUAAUACGUAGGGUCCAAGCGUUAAUCGGAACUACUGGGCGUAAAGCGUGCGCAGGCGGUUGUGCAAGACCGAUGUGAAAUCCCCGAGCUUAACUUGGGAAUUGCAUUGGUGACUGCACGGCUAGAGUGUGUCAGAGGGGGGUAGAAUUCCACGUGUAGCAGUGAAAUGCGUAGAGAUGUGGAGGAAUACCGAUGGCGAAGGCAGCCCCCUGGGAUAACACUGACGCUCAUGCACGAAAGCGUGGGGAGCAAACAGGAUUAGAUACCCUGGUAGUCCACGCCCUAAACGAUGUCAACUAGUUGUUGGGGAUCCAUUUCCUUAGUAACGUAGCUAACGCGUGAA
rnacentral:rRNA from 1 species